UACGUAGGGGGCAAGCGUUGUCCGGAAUCAUUGGGCGUAAAGCGCGUGUAGGCGGCUCGGUAAGUCUGCUGUGAAAGUCCAGGGCUCAACCCUGGGAUGCCGGUGGAUACUGUCGAGCUCGAGUCCGGGAGAGGCGAGUGGAAUUCCUGGUGUAGCGGUGAAAUGCGCAGAUAUCAGGAGGAACACCAAUGGCGAAGGCAGCUCGCUGGGACGUGACUGACGCUGAGACGCGAAAGCGUGGGGAGCAAACAGG
rnacentral:rRNA from 1 species